ACCCAAAAAAAAAAAAAAAAAAUCCUAAUUUUAUAAUAAAAGGAAUUGAAAUCAGGAAUCUGAUUUUUAUGUAGGUUGCAUGUGAUGCCUCUAUUUGGGCCUCAUUUGGAGGACAAGAUGUAGAACGUCUUCCAUCAGCUUCUACAUGCUACAAUACUCUCAAGGUAGUAUUAAUGCAAGACUCGGGGCUGACAACAUCCAGCAUCUUUUAUCUAAGUUUCCUGUCAAAAUGCGUGUGUGAGGAUGUGUGUGUAUCAUAUAUCUAAUCUUGGUCAUUCCUGUGUUUUCUUGAUCUUUGGAUGACUAUAGCUUCCAACAUACAAACGAGCGAGCACUUUGAGAGCAAAACUUCUA
rnacentral:misc_RNA from 1 species